UACGGGGGGGGGUAAGCGUUGUCCGGAAUUACUGGGCGUAAAGAGCUCGUAGGUGGUUUGUCGCGUUGUUCGUGAAAACUCACAGCUCAACUGUGGGCGUGCGGGCGAUACGGGCAGACUAGAGUACUGCAGGGGGAGACUGGAAUUCCUGGUGUAGCGGUGGAAUGCGCAGAUAUCAGGAGGAACACCGGUGGCGAAGGUGACGUCCUGGACCGGCAUUGACGCGUGAGGCGCGGAAAGCCAGGGGAGCAAACGGG
rnacentral:rRNA from 1 species